rnacentral:rRNA from 1 species
UACGAAGGGGGCUAGCGUUGCUCGGAAUGACUGGGCGUAAAGGGCGCGUAGGCGGUUUGUACAGUCAGGUGUGAAAUUCCCGGGCUCAACCUGGGGGCUGCACUUGAUACGUAGGAACUUGAGUGGGGAAGAGGGUCGUGGAAUUCCCAGUGUAGAGGUGAAAUUCGUAGAUAUUGGGAAGAACACCGGUGGCGAAGGCGGCGACCUGGUCCUUGACUGACGCUGAGGCGCGAAAGCGUGGGGAGCAAACAGG